rnacentral:tRNA from 1 species
GGGAAGUUGGCUCAGUGGUAGAGUGCAUGCCUAACAUGCAUGAGGGCCUAGGUUCAAUUUCUCA